AAGAAUCAUAUAAAAGCAGCAAUGAGGUUAAAACUAACAAAGUUCAAAAAAACACAAUCCUACCAUUGCAAAUCCAAUAGAAUGACUAUCACGAAGUGAACCAUAAUGAAAAUAAUUAAACUAAAAAACCAUAGUUAGUCCAUGUUUUAUUAGUGUUACGUAUUCAGUAGGCAAGUAUAACAGUGCAGUUCAUCACAAUGUGUCGUGAUGUUGGGGUGUAAAGUUAU
rnacentral:misc_RNA from 1 species